rnacentral:tRNA from 1 species
GGUGACUCAGCGGUAGAGUGCUUGCCUUGCAUGCAUGAGGCCUUGGGUUCGAUUCCUCAGCACCA